GUUAGAGCAGGGACACAAGAGGUGACGAAUCUCUAAAGGUCUCGAUAGCGGUGUGUCACAGAUUUGGAAAACACUGUUACCCUGAUGAGUUUAAUACGACUUCAUGAUUACUGGUUUCUUUGACGUGAGUAGACAGGAAGUGUGAGAGAGAAGAAGGAAAGAGGGAAGUAACUGGUGAAGAGUUAUUUGAGUUUGCAUUUAAGGAACCUUAAAACUUUGUACCGCAUAUCUGAGCUGAUUUAUUUUUGUCUAUAGAUGUAUUUCAAACAGCACAAUUUAAAAAAAUUAGAAAUCCUCAUAUUUUCCUUCAGACGCUGUUUAUUACACAUAGGAGAAUGUUAAAUUAGCUGUGGAGGUGAAAUAUCAAGUCGCUGAGAUACAGAACAAUUCUUCAUCUGUGGCUUCUGGAUCUUCUGUAUGAUUUUCCUGAUCUUAUAUAAUAAGCUCUAGUUGUUUUUCUUGCUUUAGGUCAGUGGGUCUAUUUUAGUUCCAGAGGAUAAAUUAUAUUUCUGACGUGACUGAGUCCUGCGUGUGUUUGUGUUCUGGUUAAAUCCACCGAGUGUAAGAGAAAGUGUAAUGAAUGAUUGGAAUGAAGGGGAUGACGUCAUGAGUGAUGUGUAAUACAAAGCUCUAAGCGCUUAAUUCUUUCCAGCUGUGUGAAGGAAGUGACACGGUAUGCCCAUUCAUUUUCCAGCUACUGAUGACUGAAUACAAGAGCAGAGAUUCUCAUCUUCUUCCCACAAUACACAAUAAACUAAUUCUCAGAAAUGUGAGUGUGACUGGGAGAAGUACUGAUGACUGAGAGACAGAUUGUGAAUCAGAUUUGUGUCAGGUUUUCCAUUUUAACUUUCUAACUAAAGUCUGUAAUUCUUUGGAUCAGCUGUUAGGUUCCUGUUAUGAACAUUCCAGAAAAUCCCGGAAUCUGAAGAGUAAAAAAACUCAUGCUGUGGAAGUUGUGGUCUUUUUGCUGUGAUGCCUGUGAGUUGAGACAAAGGCGCUACGACACCGCGGUGUUUGCUGUGGGGUUUGGUGGCGUUGUGGUGACGUUGUGGUGACGUUGUGCUCUGUGGAGUGGGAGGUUAUUGGUUCAAACCCAGCUUGGGUGCUGGAUGGUAGAAUGGGGAGUUAAUGUGUCUCACUUUUUUGACCUGGAAGUGUGAUGCUUAGUUCAUGGUUACAUAAAUGAAGGUGAAAAGGUCUAUAAAACAGGUUUCUUGUACGAGAUCCUGUAGCUCAUGUGGAUGAGCAUCGCCCUCUGGGUUGAGUGGUUGCUGGUUCAAACGCCAGCCAGGAUGAAAGGAUAAGAGCGUGGAAGGUUCAGGAAUCAGUGGAAGGCUGAUUGAUGUGGAAGGUCCAGGACGAGUGGCGUGGAAGGUGCAGGAUGGCCGGAGGGCGUGACCAAGGGGGGUAAUAUCCGGGCAUCUGCCCCCCGAGGACCAGCAGUGGACAGUAAGAGGGUUAUGGAACCUGAAGAGAGGGGU
ensembl:lncRNA